rnacentral:tRNA from 1 species
UCCCUGAUAGCUCAGUUGGUAAAGAAUCUGCCUGCAAUGCGGGAGACCCCGGUUCGAUUCCUGGGUUGGGAA